CACCGAAGAAUCCUUAAAAAUGCACUGCCAAUAGCCCCAGCGACUAACGCUCAAUAGAGCGUCUUGCUGUUUUAUAAAAUAACUACAGUGAAACAAUGACAUUUCGAGAGUCCCGCGAAAAUCCCGCGAAGGCAUUUUAAUUCCUCGUGCAGGAUAGCCUGAUCCUGCACGGCUAUUGAUCAAAUAAAUAAGCGUGUUUUACUGUAGUUAUUAUAUAAUGCGUGUUCCUUCACUGACAACUACAGCAAUUAUUAUACAUAUAUGUUAUUUACCGGCUGCGAGGUCCGUACGGAAAAAUAUUUUCC
rnacentral:lncRNA from 1 species